rnacentral:misc_RNA from 1 species
CUAAAAUGGAGAAGAGGGUAUUUUAAUCCAACCAUAUAUUCGACAAGGUUAGUUUAAUUAAUAAAAUUCAACGCUCCCUUUUUCAGCAAUUAACUCUGUUAAAACAUGUUAUAAAAUAAUUUUAAAUAACAAAAGCACUUAUUAAACGAAGACUUAAAUUUAAGAUUCUAAUAAAAUAUAAAGAUUGAUCUGAUAGAGCAAGAAACAGGUGUUCUUAAAACAUUUGUUUUUAAGCAAGUGUCAGUGUCAAAGUGCCAGUGUUCCCUCCUUGAUCUAAUCCAAAAUCCAGCCACACCUCUCUCCUUAUCUUGCAAGAACAAAAAUAAAAACCAGCAACAACCGCUCAACCCAAAAUUUGCAACGUUAAAGGGAAAAAAGAAGACAUGGGAAGGAUAUUUGUGGUGGAGUUAGAAGGCAGAUCUUACAGAUGCAAGUAUUGUGGUACCCACUUGGCCCUUCCAGUUGAUCUAGUCUCAAGGUCUUUCCAUUGCCGCCGAGGAAAGGCAUACCUCUUCAAUAACGUGGUAAACAUCAUAAUUGGAGCCUUAGAGGACAGAGCGAUGCUUUCAGGAAUGCAUACUGUUGCAGAUAUAUUUUGCUGCUGCUGUGGACAAAUUAUUGGCUGGAAAUAUGAGGCAGCACAUGAAAAGAGCCAAAAGUAUAAAGUAGGGAAGUUUGUUCUUGAAAGAGGGAGGAUUGUCGAUGAAAUGGACUUGUCGACGGGAGUCUUUGUGGAUACACAUUCCAGUAUGAGUGACGGAGAAGAUGUUUAAGUUCUAACUUCAACUUUGUGAAGUAGUUGUGCAAAAUAAUAUAGUAGGAAGCGAGACGCUUCUUUUGAACAAAUGUGUAAACUCUUAAUUGUUGAGGAGAAAUUUCAUUAUCUUGCUGGACGCAUAAAUCUUGCAGGGUGUAAAAUGGUCUAAUUUGCAAUAUCAUAAUUAGUGAUUCUGUGC